UACGUAGGGGGCAAGCGUUGUCCGGAUUUAUUGGGCGUAAAGAGCGUGUAGGCGGCCAGAUAGGUCCGUUGUGAAAACUGGAGGCUUAACCUCCAGCGGUCGAUGGAAACCAUUUGGCUAGAGUCCGGAAGAGGAGAGUGGAAUUCCUGGUGUAGCGGUGAAAUGCGUAGAGAUGCGGAGGAACACCGAUGGCGAAGGCAGCCCCCUGGGCUAACACUGACGCUCAGGCACGAAAGCGUGGGGAGCAAACAGG
rnacentral:rRNA from 1 species